UACGAAGGGGGCUAGCGUUGUUCGGAAUUACUGGGCGUAAAGGGCGCGUAGGCGGCCAGUGCAAGUCAGUUGUGAAAUCUCCGAGCUUAACUCGGAAAGGUCAACUGAUACUGUGCGACUAGAGUGCGGAAGGGGCAACUGGAAUUCUCGGUGUAGCGGUGAAAUGCGUAGAUAUCGAGAGGAACACCUGCGGCGAAGGCGGGUUGCUGGGCCGACACUGACGCUGAUGCGCGAAAGCCAGGGGAGCGAACGGG
rnacentral:rRNA from 1 species